UUCGAUCGCAGCAACGACGAUUCCGGCAACAAGCACAUCCCAAUCACCAGUCUGUCCAAGAAUAGUAGCUAGUGCAUUGGCAGUGUAGAAACCAAGAAGCAGCAGAAAUAUCUUCAUUGGGAAGUUUUUUCUUGCAGAGUUUAUCUUCCCAAGUAACUGUUUGCCUCCUGCAAUCGCAAUUCUACCUAACCGAGUGCUACCGAGACCGGUUCUGUCUCCAUUCAUCUCUUGCCCUUCACCACUAUCUCCAGGAAUAGAAGAACCAGUGUCUAACGCAAACGCUAUUUUCCGGUUUGGUCUUCUUAUCUGAAAACUAUUGGCAAAAAAUGAAGAGACUUUUCAAU